UUCGGAAUUGACUGUAAAAUAUAGUUAUAAAUGUAUAUUACACUAAGUAUACCUACAAGAUCUCUCUUUAGCACCACUGUGAAAUUCCUUAAUUUCUGAUUAAUUUGUGUUUGCUGGAGAUAUACCGCAAAGCUUUUUAAUGUUUGUAGUUUUCUUCUUUUAAAUAGAAUUCGAUUUAAAUUAACCCUGUCACAUAUUCUUGUUCUAGACCCC
rnacentral:lncRNA from 1 species